ACGUGCCUUUAUUGUAAUCAUAUUUUUUCUUGCUCCAACAUAUUUUUAACGCUUCAUGUUGAAGUAGGACAGCGUCUUCCGCCGUGUAAGCAGUGCGCUGGCGUUCGCGUCAUCGCAGUUUUCCACAGCGGGGCAGCGUGACAAACCACAACAAACUAACCAAUUGAUUCAUUCAGUUUCGUCACUUUUCUUACGAUGUUUUGUUGAAACUACAUGCUAGUGUAAUUGUAUAUAACUCAUAUUUUGGAUGCUAUAAAUCAUAUAAGAUUCUUGGCAAAUUUCAAUGUUUCAGGAUGGGUUGCAACAUCUCAUGCCGCCCUUGCUGUUGCUGCUGCAUCCCGUGCCUGUGCUGUGAUUGCUGCGCUGACCCUCCAACUCAGACGACGGUGGUUCACCAUCAUCACCCUCCACAACCUGCACCCGCCCCUGUCAUCAUUAACCAACCUCCACCACCAUAUAAAUAGUACAUUUAAAUAUAUCAUUUUCGUGUCGCUUAUGUAACAACGAUGUAGCAUCAAUUAAGGAAAUGUGAAAAAGAGAUAAUUAUUUACUGUUUUAUAAUGCAUAAUAUAAAUAUAAUAUCGUAGCUGUAGUAAAGAUAUAUAUGUAUAUAUAAUAUAUUUACUGCUUUUCCGAUAAACCUUAUUAGUCAGUCUUUUGAUAAUUUCAAGGCUUUUCAGCUUUUCCCAAAAAACCUAAUUUAAGUAGAAAAGUGGCAAAACAUUAGGUUAAGCAGUAAGUAAUUAAAAUUAUUACUGGCAAGGUGUCUACUGUAUGAUUUUAUUGUUUAAUUUAUUAGUAUAAUUUACGCCAUUUGUUUUAUUAGUUAUCUACAUAAUAGAUACCAUUCUAUUUACUUGCUAGUAUUAUGUAUAUAAAUAUUUAUUUUAUGUUUAAUAUAAUUUAAUAUUUGUCUUUCAACAUGAUAAAGGUAAAAUAAAACAAUAAACAAGUUGUAAAAUGUUAUGUAAGUUAUUCUACCAGAAUAAUUUAUAAAUAAUAUAUUUUUUAAUAAACUGAUAUGUAAUAAAUUGUUUAUUGAUUCCUCUUAGUAUAAAUAGUUUUCAGGUAGAUAUUUUAAAAAAAUAAUAAUCAAUCGGUUUAUUUUAUGUCGGCUUUAUUGAUAUCAUGUCACUGAUAGUGUGAGUAUAAAAAUGUGUCAUUAAUGAAUCAUCAUACAAUGUUCAAUUAUAUAAGCCUACGCUGUUAUCUGCCUUAUAAUAAAAACUUUAAAGUCUCCAUAAAAAACAGGAGCUGGGUAAUAUAAUAUUAUGUAUUAUUCUUUUUUAAUUACAUUGUAAAUAAGUAUGUUGUUUAAUACAUCAUUUUGUCAUUAUUAAUCUGUUUAUAGCCGUCUAUCCCGUAAACAUAUUUAUUAUAAAAAUAACAUUAUAAAUAUCGUACGAUUAAAAUAAAACGCGAUUUGUUAAUGGCAAUUAUGGUAGAUAUAUUUUAUCAAUUCGAAACGCCAUUGAACUCGGCAAUGCUCAUUGUUGGGUAAUAAUUGCUUAAGGCGUCCAUGACUUCAUUUUUUGAUCAGCGCCAAAACGGCCAUCCACCAGACCGAGUUAUGCUGUAGAGGCCAGGACAGCUAAACAAAUUGAACAAAUAGCGACUUUAAAAGACAAGAUACAGUACAUAGACAUUUAAAUUACCACGGCUGUUUUAAAAAUCCUCUCACACAUUUUUUUUACAGAAAAUAUAACCAAUUAAAAAUAAUGGCAAAUGAAUAGAUUAUAUAUUUUAGCUAAAUAAUGUUGUUCCGCCAUUUUGUUCGGUUGAAGGUUACAGCACGUGACACGUCCGUAAAAAUUUAAGAUAGGUGUUUUGUGGUUGUAUUGAAUUUUAGCGGUAUUUGAUCUUUAAGUGGGAAAUGUUCAAAUUAGCCGUAAGUAUUUCACCAGCAUGUUUAAGUGUUUUAUUUAAAAAUGUAAAUAUUUAUUUAACCAUAAGGUUAUCCACUCGCCCAUCUAUACCUUAAGUCCUAAGGUAAUAUAUAAUAUUAUAAUUAUUAUUAUUGUAUCUGUGUGUAAACUUGAAUAUUAAUAAUGUGGCACGAAAAUUUACAUGAACCCUCAUGCGAUAUAUAAUAUGAAGUUUUAUACUAUAGCCCCUAUUUAUCAAUUUUUUGUGAUAAUGAUCAAGGAAUUAUAAUAUUUUAUGUGACUAUAAAAGAAAAAAUAUUGGAAAAGAAAAUUAAAAUCCGAUUUUUUUAUUUCGAUGUCUAACGAUGUUUGUUUCUGACAUUCGAGUAAACAUAAGAAAUUAUUACAUAUCUGCAAAGCCUGGCCUAGAAAAGCUAGGAAGUUACUCUACAUUUUGUCCCAUCAGUUCAAUUUGUACGUAGGUUGCCGUGUAAAUUACAUUAUGAUACCAAG